rnacentral:rRNA from 1 species
AAAAUUUAUUAUUAAUUUAAUUUAUAUGUAAAUUUUUGUGAGAAUAUUUAUAAAUUUUAAUAAUUUAUAAAAUUUAUUUAACCGCAGUAAUUAAUUUUAUUUUUUAAAGAAAUUUAGAAAUAGUUAUAUUAAAAAGUAUAGAUUAAAUUGGUGCCAGCAAUCGCGGUUAUACCAAUUAUGCAAAUAAAUUUUUUUAGUUAAAGUUAAAUAAAUAAUUUAUUUAAAAAUAAUUAAAUUUAUUAAGUGAAAUUUUAAAUUUAAAUUUUUUAAUAUUUUUUUAAUUGAAGCUUGAAAAUUUUAAAUAA